rnacentral:rRNA from 1 species
AGCAGGGGCUCUUCGGACCUUGCGCUAUCGGAUGAGCCUAUGUCGGAUUAGCUAGUUGGUAGGGUAAUGGCCUACCAAGGCGACGAUCCGUAGCUGGUCUGAGAGGAUGAUCAGCCACAUCGGGACUGAGACACGGCCCGAACUCCUACGGGAGGCAGCAGUGGGGAAUAUUGGACAAUGGGGGCAACCCUGAUCCAGCCAUGCCGCGUGUGUGAAGAAGGCCUUCGGGUUGUAAAGCACUUUCAGCGAGGAAGAAAGCCUGGUGGCCAAUACCCGCCAGGAAGGACAUCACUCGCAGAAGAAGCACCGGCUAACUCCGUGCCAGCAGCCGCGGUAAUACGGAGGGUGCGAGCGUUAAUCGGAAUUACUGGGCGUAAAGCGCGCGUAGGUGGCUUGAUAAGCCGGUUGUGAAAGCCCUGGGCUCAACCUGGGAACGGCAUCCGGAACUGUCAGGCUAGAGUGCAGGAGAGGAAGGUAGAAUUCCCGGUGUAGCGGUGAAAUGCGUAGAGAUCGGGAGGAAUACCAGUGGCGAAGGCGGCCUUCUGGACUGACACUGACACUGAGGUGCGAAAGCGUGGGGAGCAAACAG